AACGAACGCUGGCGGCAGGCUUAACACAUGCAAUUCGAGCGCCCCGCAAGGGGAGCGGCUGACGGGUGAGUAACGCGUGGGAAUCUACCCAUCUCUACGGAAUAACGCAUGGAGACGUGUGCUAAUACCGUAUACGUCCUCCGGGCGAAAGAUUUAUCGGAGAGGGACGAGCCCGAGUUGGCUUGGCUAGUUGGGGGGGUAAAGGCCUACCAAGGCGACGAUCCAUAGCUGGUCUGAGAGGCUGAGCAGCCACACUGGGACUGAGACACAGCCCAGACGGCUAGGGGAGGCAGCAGGGGGGAAUAUUGGCCAAUGGGCGCAAGCCUGAUCCAGCCAUGCCGCGUGAGUGAUGAAGGCCCUGGGGUUGUAAAGCUCUUUCACCGGUGAAGAUAAUGACGGUCACCGGAGAAGAUCCCCCGGCUAACUUCGUGCCAGCCGCCGCCGUAACAC
rnacentral:rRNA from 1 species